CGGGCGGAGGACUACGGCUCCCAGCAGGGCCGGCGGAGAUGAACAUCGAACGAGCACAUGGAGUUCCAGAUGCUGAUCCCCCGGAGAAUCCACCUGUGACAGAAGGGAUGGAUGAUCUUUCAGCUCGGUUCCAGCUUGGUGGGACCUACGUGUGGUUGUUUCAGGCUGAUGUACAAAAAGGCCAUCGUUUCAAAAAUGUCAGAGGAACCACAACUGAGCUUUUCUCCUGUUCCCACCUGUGCUUUGGGAUGCGAAAGAAUAACAUCAGCACACAGAGACCUUGACUUCCUCUUGGAUGCAUCUGGACGAUUUUAUUAGGCAGUCCACCGCGCCUGUGAUCAGUCUGAGAGCAGCUGAUGAUGAGCAUCGCCAAGAUAUGGUACUGGGCUGCUGAUUGAUUUUGUGUCUUUCAGAAGACUUGAAAAAUUAGAUUAAUGAAACAUCACGCUCGUAAACCACAGCCUCACCAUGAGGACGUUAGGGCAGCCACAACUGUACAAAGUAUCUUUACCAGCAGCCUUUCACCCUCUGAAAAAUCUUUUCUUCUUGAAGGUAACUGUGGGUGGUCUUUGUCUAAUUUCUGUAAAUUCGGUACAUCACUUUCUAGUUAUGCAGCUGAUACUCGUGUUUAUAUGAAUGGCUAUUUAAAAAAGGAAAGAUCAGAUGUUUGUUGUUUCAUUUCAACAUAAAUCAAACUUUGUACUCACAUAGCAAUUCUAGUUUAGCCCCAGGAAUAGCUUUAGUAUUGCUAAGUGUCUGGAGAGUAUUGACUACAGAGACAUGAUUUUAAGCAGGCUAUAAUAGUUUCUACAGCUGUUAACAGUUCUCAGAAGAAAGGCAGUAUUAUUCAUCGGUGUUUAAAAUGUGCAUGACUUGCAUUGCACAGAAGUCAGAUUGGGAGAAUGUCAGAAUUUUUUUUUUUCUGAAAUUCUGCCAGGAAAGUCUUCAAUAACUGGAGAAAUUCUUUUCACUGGUGAAAUCAACAUGCAGCACAUUGUGUUAUUAUAAUUGCUUAUAGCUCACCAUGAAAGUUGUCUUUGUAUGUGUGGAUGUACGGCUUGUACUGUUUUGUUUUUAUU